GAAAAACAAGUUUUAACAACAUUAUUUUAACAACACGCACACAAGAUGUGUUGUCAAUGUACAUAAUUAACAACAUUCUUGGUAGGCAUCUUGUUGUUAAUAGCAAAUCAAAGUAAUUUACAGCACGCCGCUCUUGCAGCUUGUUAAAACAACUUACAACAAGACAAAAUUCGUGUUGUAGAAAAAAUAUUCAAUUUUCUAAAUUUUAUUAGAUACGACAAGAUGCGCCGCGACUUGUCGUUUCUUUUGUUCAUUAUAUUGAAAAGACGGGCUCCUUAGGUCAAGAGUUCGAAACUCUCUACCCCCAAUUGUAGGUUAUUCCUUAAAAAAAAAAAAACGGCCCACGACUCUAAUCUUCAAAUAGGUCGUGCCCCUACAAAUCGAUCUUACGAUUCGUCAAUUUUCUUCUUUUCCUUUCUCUGGAGAAGGGUUUUCAAUUGAACAGAAGGGGUUUCAUCUCCCCAUUGAAGAAGAAGAAGAACACGUUACCCAUAAGGCGUUUCAUCUCGCCAUUGAAGAAGAAGAACACGAUUUUCAAUUGAAGACAAGGCACUUCAUCUUUCCUUGGGAAGAAGAAUAACACGAGUUGAUGUCGAAUUCGAAAAUUACUACUUCAGUUAUAGCAAUGGGGUGCGAACAGAGAGACCAUCUCUUACAUCAUUGCUUAUGGUCUAAGUGUUGCAGCUAGGCGAAAACACAAGAUAAGAACUUCUCUUUGUCUCUCUCUCUUGUUUGUGGAUUCCUUUACUUAUUAAUUUUAUUUUUCUUUCAAUACUAGGGUCUUGAACAAGUUAGCAAAAAAUCCAAAGAUUUUUAUUUAUGACAUGGAGGUUGGCAUAGAUGUCAUGUGUUAGAUAGAGAGGUUGGCAUCAAUGUCCUGUACAAGGGCUCUUAAUCAAACAAAAUGUACGUUUGUUUUCUUGUUCUUUGAUUUUUUUUGUUCGUUUGAGGAAGGCUUGACACUAGUGUAGAUGAGUUUAUUACUGGUGAGAAUGAUGUAGAAUUUAUUAUAAUGUAUAAUUAUUUUAAUGAAAUGAUAUUUUUUCUAUUUUUAUGGAUACAAUUAUUAU